UACGUAGAGGCGAGCAGUGUUCGGCGAGUUACUGGGCGUAAAGCGCACGCAGGCGGUCGUGUCAGUCUGGGGUGACAGUUUCCGGCUUAACCGGAAAAGGACUCUGGAAACUGCACGACUUGAGGGCUUCAGAGGGAUGUGGAAUUCCAGGUGGAGUGGUGAAAUGCGUAGAGAUCUGGAAGAACACCAAAGGCGAAGGCGGGUCUCUGGGCCGAUAUUGACGCUGAGGAGCGAAAGCGUGGGGAGCGAACAGG
rnacentral:rRNA from 1 species